UACAGAGGGGGCAAGCGUUGUUCGGAAUUACUGGGCGUAAAGGGCGCGUAGGCGGCCUGCUAAGUCGAACGUGAAAUCCCUGGGCUCAACCCAGGAACUGCGUCCGAUACUGGCAGGCUUGAAUCCGGGAGAGGGAUGCGGAAUUCCAGGUGUAGCGGUGAAAUGCGUAGAUAUCUGGAGGAACACCGGUGGCGAAGGCGGCAUCCUGGACCGGCAUUGACGCUGAGGCGCGAAAGCGUGGGGAGCGAACAGG
rnacentral:rRNA from 1 species